rnacentral:rRNA from 1 species
UAGGGAAUCUUCGGCAAUGGACGAAAGUCUGACCGAGCAACGCCGCGUGAGUGAAGAAGGUUUUCGGAUCGUAAAACUCUGUUGUUAGAGAAGAACAAGGACGUUAGUAACUGAACGUCCCCUGACGGUAUCUAACCAGAAAGCCACGGCUAACUACGUGCCAGCAGCCGCGGUAAUACGUAGGUGGCAAGCGUUGUCCGGAUUUAUUGGGCGUAAAGCGAGCGCAGGCGGUUUCUUAAGUCUGAUGUGAAAGCCCCCGGCUCAACCGGGGAGGGUCAUUGGAAACUGGGAGACUUGAGUGCAGAAGAGGAGAGUGGAAUUCCAUGUGUAGCGGUGAAAUGCGUAGAUAUAUGGAGGAACACCAGUGGCGAAGGCGGCCCUCUGGUAUGUAACUGACGCUGAGGCUCGAAAGCGUGGGGAGCAAACAGG